AUGAUGAAGGACUUUCAGUCAAAGGUAAAGAUCAAGAAAUUGCUUAUGUGUUCAUCUUCAGAAAAGAGUGAGUAACUAGUGGCCUUUAGAUGAGCCAACCGCAAGCCUGGACUCAUCUUUGACAUCUCCUGCUUCCCUCCAUAAUGACCGUCGUUGCUCCUCUUGCCCAAGCCUUUGCAUGGAUGAUUGUCUGUCCUCUGUUGGGCCCCUUCUGAAGAGUUGGAGUUGGGUAAGUGUCACUCAUGAGAGCAGGAACACAGUCAGGCAAACCACAGAAUGCUUCCUGGUUUUAAAAAGGGUUUUCUCCAAAGCUAGAAUAAGA
rnacentral:lncRNA from 1 species